GUUUGGAAGGGAUAAGCGCUGAAAGCAUAUAAGCGCGAAACCCACCACAAGAUGAGAUUUCUUUAAAGGAUCCCCAAAGACGAUGGGGUUGAUAGGUCACAGGUGUAAAGGCAGUAAUGUCAUAGCCAAGUGAUACUAAUUAUCCGAAGAGCUUAUCUAU
rnacentral:rRNA from 1 species